AACUCAUGAGCCCUGACUCCAAAGCCCGUGCUCUUUCCACUGAGCCAAGAUGAGGAGCUGGGGAGAGGAAAGCCCAGGUUGAGAGCAGCCCGGUUGUCCAGACGCUGCUGAGAGUCGUGGGCCCACGAGGGGAGAACUGGAAACUGAGGAAGAUAAGGAGGUGCUGAAGGCCUUCUUCCUCUUUCUUCAUUCUAACAAUCCAAGAGACUGGAAGCCCAGUGCUCAGGUUCAUUUAGGACUGAGCCCUGCCCACUCGUCAGAUAGCUGCCUGUCCUCGUCUUAAAACUUGCGCUGCCUUCGAAAUGUUCACCAAGGCUACUGCUCUCCAGGUACCAGAGCAGUGAGGAAUCAACCUACUGAAGUCAAACAGUAUUUCUGUGGCUGCUUCAGACCAUCUCUGCUCGGUGUCACUGACAAGGCCUGUGAAGAUCUCCCCAUCCCUGUU